AGAAUAUUAGAAAAGACCGAAAAAGUAGUAAAAGAAGAAGCUCUGAAGAGUCAGGUAAAUUUCAACAACACUUCUGAGUCAAGAUAUAUUGUAGAAGAAAAAGGUCAAAAUACUUUCAACAGAGGAAGAGGAAAUUAUAGAGGCAGAGGCCGAGGAAAUUAUGGAGGAAGAGGACAUGGCAACUUUAACCAAUGGAGAGACAAUAAUUUCAAUUCAUCCAAU
rnacentral:lncRNA from 1 species